rnacentral:rRNA from 1 species
GAUGAACGCUGGCGGCGCGCCUAACACAUGCAAGUCGAACGAUUAAAGCACCUUCGGGUGUGUAUAAAGUGGCGAACGGCUGAGUAACACGUGGGCAACCUGCCCCUCUCAUUGGGAUAGCCACGGGAAACCGUGGAUAAUACCGAAUACUUCGGGACUUCCGCAUGGAAGACUCGAGAAAGCUCCGGCGGAGAGGGAUGGGCCCGCGGCCUGUUAGCUUGUUGGUGGGGUAAUGGCCUACCAAGGCAAUGAUGGGUAGCUGGGUUGAGAGACCGACCAGCCAGAUUGGGACUGAGACACGGCCAAGACUCCCACGGGAGGCAGCAGUGGGGAAUCUUGCACAAUGGGCGAAAGCCUGAUGCAGCGACGCCGCGUGCGGGAUGAAGGCCUUCGGGUUGUAAACCGCUUUCAGCAGGGACGAGGCGAAAGUGACGGUACCUGCAGAAGAAGCCCCGGCUAACUAC